CAUUAAAUCUGACGCACACACACACUCCACAUUACAACUGCAGAGAAGCCAACAACUGUGAAAAAAAAAUGUGAUAAUAGAAAUUCACCCACCAGGUUCACGAACGAUGGCUCUGUAAAACUUUUUUCCCCUCCUGUACGUCCUCCCUUCCCUUUUCCUCGCUCUCUUCUUCUUUCAUGCACUCUCUUGCUCUCCCAUUCUCUCACUCACUGGAAAGUUCGUCUCUCAUCGCGUAUGCAAAUCAUUUUUAUGAGUUGAAAGAGGGCAGGAAUGGAGGGAGAGUGGAGGAGGAGGAGGAAAGAGGGAAAGACAGACAGACAGAGAGAGAGAGAGAGAGAGAGAGAGACAGACAGAGAGAGGGAGGGAUAGACAGGCAGGGAAAGAAGGAAGAGAGGAGAUAAUGGUUCAAGGCAGGCAACCAAUGGGCCCGGAGCUGAGCGGUGGAGGGGAGAAGGGAUGAGAAAGAGAGAGAGAGAGAGAGAGAGAGAGAGAAACAGAAUGGGGGCAGCACCAAUGAGGCGGAGCGGGAAAUGGAAGGGAUGGGGCUCUCCACAGCAGAGGAGACUGUGAGAGAGAGAGCAAGCAAGGGAGAGAGAGAAAUGCAGAAGAGAAAGGGCUCACCCUCUCCGUCGUGUCUAUCACAUCCUCGGCAUGGUGUUCAGAGCUCCACAGACAAAAGAAAGACCACUCCCCCCAAAAAAGCACCCAGAGCGAGAUGGAGGAGAACGGCGGCGUGUCUCGGUUCCCUACAGCGCAUCCAUCUGUUCAACCAUCCAUCUUCUGUUAAGAGGCAUAGUGGAGGUAAAAGCGCUCCUCGCUACGUCCCCUGGGUUCACAUCUGCAGUGGCUGUCAUUCACGCUGUUGUCGGAACACCUGCUUUUACACACAGGCGGCGGUGGCGGCGGCGAGGAGAAAAGCAAGAAUACCUACAUCCUAUACUGAGCACCAAGCUGAUAAUCACAGCACACAUCAUUAAGCCACCGAGCAACGCUUAAGUGUUAAUCUUUAAUGGUCUGCAUAGAUAUUCCCAUAAGACAAAAAGCUUUUCAUUGUUCUGAAUUUACGGUUGGGAGAUUGAUGCCACGACAAUCGGCAGCUGGCGACAGCACUGUGGCAUUCAAUGCUGUUUCUGUUCGUUCAGGGGGAGGUUUAUGCAGCAUGUCUUCUCUCUGAGAGCCUGACAGUACUAAUCAUGCUAAUAAAGACUUACAGCCUGAUUCCA
rnacentral:lncRNA from 1 species